rnacentral:rRNA from 1 species
AGCAGCCGCGGUAAUUCCAGCUCCAAUAGCGUAUAUUAAAGUUGUUGCAGUUAAAAAGCUCGUAGUUGAAUUUCGGGGUUAGUAGGUUGGUCAUGCCUCUGGUAUGUACUGGUCUCACUGAUUCCUCCUUCCUGAUGAACCUUAAUGCCAUUAAUUUGGUGUUUUGGGGGAAUUUGGACUGUUACUUUUGAAAAAAUUAGAGUGUUUUAAAGCGAGCUAACGCUUGAAUACAUUAGCAUGGAAUAAUGAAAUAGGACGUUCGAUCCUAUUUUGUUGGUUUCUAGGAUUGACGUAAUGAUUAAUAGGGAUAGUUGGGGGCAUUAGUAUUCAAUUGUCAGAGGUGAAAUUCUUGGAUUUAUUGAAGACUAACUACUGCGAAAGCAUUUGCCAAGGAUGUUUUCAUUAAUCAAGAACGAAAGUUAGGGGAUCGAAGACGAUCAGAUACCGUCGUAGUCUUAACCAUAAACUAUGCCGACUAGGGAUCGGAUGAUGUUAAUUUUUUUAAUGACUCAUUCGGCAC